AGCGGCGGACGGGUGAGUAACGCGUGGGUAACCUGCCUCAUACAGGGGGAUAACAGUUGGAGACGGCUGCUAAUACCGCAUAAGCGCACAGUACCGCAUGGUACGGUGUGAAAAACUCCGGUGGUAUGAGAUGGACCCGCGUCUGAUUAGGUAGUUGGUGGGGUAACGGCCUACCAAGCCGACGAUCAGUAGCCGACCUGAGAGGGUGACCGGCCACAUUGGGACUGAGACACGGCCCAA
rnacentral:rRNA from 1 species